rnacentral:rRNA from 1 species
ACGAAUUCGCCCUUAGAGUUUGAUCCUGGCUCAGGAUGAACGCUAGCUACAGGCUUAACACAUGCAAGUCGAGGGGAAACGACAUCGAAAGCUUGCUUUUGAUGGGCGUCGACCGGCGCACGGGUGAGUAACGCGUAUCCAACCUGCCCACCACUUGGGGAUAACCUUGCGAAAGUAAGACUAAUACCCAAUGAUAUCUCUAGAAGACAUCUGAAAGAGAUUAAAGAUUUAUCGGUGAUGGAUGGGGAUGCGUCUGAUUAGCUUGUUGGCGGGGUAACGGCCCACCAAGGCAACGAUCAGUAGGGGUUCUGAGAGGAAGGUCCCCCACAUUGGAACUGAGACACGGUCCAAACUCCUACGGGAGGCAGCAGUGAGGAAUAUUGGUCAAUGGACGAGAGUCUGAACCAGCCAAGUAGCGUGCAGGAUGACGGCCCUAUGGGUUGUAAACUGCUUUUAUAAGGGAAUAAAGUGAGUCUCGUGAGACUUUUUGCAUGUACCUUAUGAAUAAGGACCGGCUAAUUCCGUGCCAGCAGCCGCGGUAAUACGGAAGGUCCGGGCGUUAUCCGGAUUUAUUGGGUUUAAAGGGAGCGUAGGCCGGAGAUUAAGCGUGUUGUGAAAUGUAGACGCUCAACGUCUGCACUGCAGCGCGAACUGGUUUCCUUGAGUACGCACAAAGUGGGCGGAAUUCGUGGUGUAGCGGUGAAAUGCUUAGAUAUCACGAAGAACUCCGAUUGCGAAGGCAGCUCACUGGAGCGCAACUGACGCUGAAGCUCGAAAGUGCGGGUAUCGAACAGGAUUAGAUACCCUGGUAGUCCGCACGGUAAACGAUGGAUGCCCGCUGUUGGUCUGAAUAGGUCAGCGGCCAAGCGAAAGCAUUAAGCAUCCCACCUGGGGAGUACGCCGGCAACGGUGAAACUCAAAGGA